rnacentral:rRNA from 1 species
UGGGGGAUAUUGCACAAUGGGGGAAACCCUGAUGCAGCGACGCCGCGUGAGUGAAGGAGCGUUUCGGCGCGUAAAGCUCUAUCAGCAGGGAAGACAAACUGCCCCGGAAGGGGCAGCCGGACGGUACCUGACCAAGAAGCCCCGGCUAACUACGUGCCAGCAGCCGCGGUAAUACGUAGGGGGCAAGCGUUAUCCGGAUUUACUGGGUGUAAAGGGAGCGUAGACGGCAAGACAAGCCUGGAGUGAAAGGCGGGGGCCCAACCCCCGGACUGCUCUGGGAACUGUCUGGCUGGAGUGCAGGAGGGGUAAGUGGAAUUCCUAGUGUAGCGGUGAAAUGCGUAGAUAUUAGGAGGAACACCAGUGGCGAAGGCGGCUUACUGGACUGUAACUGACGUUGAGG